rnacentral:rRNA from 1 species
CACGCCCUAAACGAUGAUAACUCGAUGUUGGCGAUACACUGUCAGCGUCCAAGCGAAAGCAUUAAGUUAUCCACCUGGGGAGUACGACCGCAAGGUUGAAACUCAAAGGAAUUGACGGGGGCCCGCACAAGCGGAGGAGCAUGUGGUUUAAUUCGAUGAUACGCGAGGAACCUUACCCGGGCUUGAAAGUUAGUGAAUAAUUUAGAAAUAGAUUAGCUAGCAAUAGCACGAAACUAGGUGC